CAGUAGCCGCGGUAAAACGGAGGGGGCUAGCGUUGUUCGGAAUUACUGGGCGUAAAGCGCGCGUAGGCGGUUACUCAAGUCAGAGGUGAAAGCCCGGGGCUCAACCCCGGAACUGCCUUUGAAACUAGGUGACUAGAAUCUUGGAGAGGUCAGUGGAAUUCCGAGUGUAGAGGUGAAAUUCGUAGAUAUUCGGAAGAACACCAGUGGCGAAGGCGACUGACUGGACAAGUAUUGACGCUGAGGUGCGAAAGCGUGGGGAGCAAACAGGAUUAGAGACCCGCGUAGUCCCUGUCUCUUAUAU
rnacentral:rRNA from 1 species